ACGGAAGGCAGCAGUGAGGAAUAUUGGUCAAUGGGCGGAAGCCUGAACCAGCCAAGUCGCGUGAAGGAUGAAGGUAUUAUGUAUUGUAAACUUCUUUAGACGUAGAGAAAUAAGGGGGUCGAGACCUCUGAUGCUAGUAUACGUAGAAUAAGGAUCGGCUAACUCCGUGCCAGCAGCCGCGGUAAUACGGAGGAUCCGAGCGUUAUCCGGAUUUAUUGGGUUUAAAGGGUGCGCAGGCGGUCUUUUAAGUCAGUGGUUAAAUCGUGGGGCUUAACUCCAUCCCGCCAUUGAUACUGGAGGACUUGAUUGCGGUUGAGGUUGGCGGAAUUCGCCGUGUAGCGGUGAAAUGCAUAGAUAUGGCGAAGAACUCCGAUUGCGUAGGCAGCUGACCAAGCCGUAAAUGACGCUCAUGCACGAAAGUGCGGGGAUCGAACAGGAUUAGAUACCCUGGUA
rnacentral:rRNA from 1 species